UACGUAGGUCCCGAGCGUUGUCCGGAUUUAUUGGGCGUAAAGCGAGCGCAGGUGGUUUAUUAAGUCUGGUGUAAAAGGCAGUGGCUCAACCAUUGUAUGCAUUGGAAACUAGUAGACUUGAGUGCAGGAGAGGAGAGUGGAAUUCCAUGUGUAGCGGUGAAAUGCGUAGAUAUAUGGAGGAACUCCGGUGGCGAAAGCGGCUCUCUGGCCUGUAACUGACACUGAGGCUCGAAAGCGUGGGGAGCAAACAGG
rnacentral:rRNA from 1 species